CUGAUACUGACCAUUAGUUGAGUUCAGGCUCAUAUGACUGCUUGGACCAGAGGCUGAGAGUUGAGGCCGGGGAUAUGAGCAACAGAGGGAGAGGGCAUGCUGGCACAGGCCAGAAUAAAGGGAUUCUCUCUCAGAGGCCUGAGUCUGCAUUUAAGAAGUUGAUUGCCCAGCAGAAGAAAUCAUGUCAAAGGUCCCGAAGUCACUGAGCCCCCCAGAUUCAACAGGAGGGGACAUACUCCAGCUGUCUUUGGAGAGACCAGUCUGCCCAAGGUGAGUCCUAGGGAAACAGAAGUUACACUUAAAAAGAGAAACACCUGGAAGAGCUAAAAGAAGUCAAAAUGCGAUUCAACAAAAUGUGAACAAUCACAUCAGGACCUUUCUUAUGUUAAUGGGUGGAGAGGGCUUGGAAGGAGAAAUACACUGGCCCUCAGACUGAAAGAAGGUUUGACAUGCAGAUAGAAGUGGGGCAGCAAGGGAAGCUAGAGACACAGAAGACCAGUUUUGUCAAAGGUUAUUUUCUUUUUUGUUCGCCUGUGCAAGAACCCAGUGAAAGCUGCUUGCAAUGGUCCUUUACAUCUAGUUCCCAGCUUAGUGGCAGUUAUAACAGAGCUCACUUCACCAAGGCCCUUGAGGAUGGAGGCAUAUUCGUUAGCUCUGAGUACUGGCCUCCUUCAAUUACGCUGGAAAAUCCAGAUUCUCUGAAAACUGAGUCCUAAAUUAAGCACAACUGGCUCAAAACCCAUUUGCUGGUAUUUUAUACAACCUACCAAUGUGGAGACCACAUUCCUUGGAGGAGCAUGGAGAGCAUGUGAUAACGUUCUGUACAGAUUAGAUUUCCUGGUUGCAGCAUUUGGUUAAGUGGAGGAUAUUAAAAAACAAAACAAGAUAUAAAGACACAGAAAGAAUAGUUUAAGCCACAUUAAAUCAUUGUCAGACAGUUUUGGGGAACAAAUUAAAUCCUUCCAAGAGGAUAAAAAACAUGAGAUUUUGCAGUUUUUUAUCUCCUUUAACCCUACUUGCUUGAAAUAGUCACUUCUUCAUAUCUUAAAUAGAAAAUUUAGUCGGCCAUUUUAUUUUAAGAUGAAAUACCAGUGUUCCCUGAAAAUAGGCAUACAUGUGUUCUAAAGACAAUACUCACCUCCUCUUGUCAACCUGUAAGGUGAAAGUUAGAUAUCAGAGUUGGCCCAGGAGGUGGGCUGAAGAUCACAUGUUAGUCUCAAUAACAACUCUCAACAAACUCAAGAAAGUUAAAAUCAUAUCAAACACCUUUUCCAACCACAAUGGUGUGAAACUAGAAAUCAAUAAUGAGGGAAAAAAAUUGGAAAAACCACAAAAACAUGGAGAUUAGACAAUGUGCUACUAAAUAACCAAUGAGUCAAAGAAAUCAGAGAAGAAAUAAAAAAAAAUCUAAAGACAAAUGAGGACAGAAAUGCAACAUACCAAAAUCUAAGAGAUGCAGCAGAAGUAGUUCUGAGAGGGAAGUUCCUAGCAAUACAGGCUGCCUCAAGUAAUAAGCAAAAAUUCCAUGUAAACACUCUUAACUUUAUACCUAAAGUAACUGGAAAAAGGACAAAGCCCAAAAUUAGUAGAAGGGAAAAAAUAAUAAAAUCAGAGAGGAAAUAAAUAAGAGACU